rnacentral:rRNA from 1 species
GACAGAGGGGGCAAGCGUUGCUCGGAAUUACUGGGCGUAAAGGGCGCGUAGGCGGGAUGGCAAGUCGGUCGUGAAAUCCCUCGGCUCAACUGAGGAGCGUCGAUCGAAACUGCCGUUCUUGAGGGUUGCAGAGGAGACUGGAAUUCCCGGUGUGGCGGUGAAAUGUGUAGAGAUCGGGAGGAACACCGGUGGCGAAGGCGGGUCUCUGGACAGUUCCUGACGCUGAGGCACGAAGGCCAGGGGAGCAAACGGG